UUUAUGGAGAGUUUGAUCCUGGCUCAGGAUGAACGCUGGCGGCGUGCCUAAUACAUGCAAGUCGAGCGAACGGACGAGAAGCUUGCUUCUCUGAUGUUAGCGGCGGACGGGUGAGUAACACGUGGAUAACCUACCUAUAAGACUGGGAUAACUUCGGGAAACCGGAGCUAAUACCGGAUAAUAUUUUGAACCGCAUGGUUCAAAAGUGAAAGACGGUCUUGCUGUCACUUAUAGAUGGAUCCGCGCUGCAUUAGCUAGUUGGUAAGGUAACGGCUUACCAAGGCAACGAUGCAUAGCCGACCUGAGAGGGUGAUCGGCCACACUGGAACUGAGACACGGUCCAGACUCCUACGGGAGGCAGCAGUAGGGAAUCUUCCGCAAUGGGCGAAAGCCUGACGGAGCAACGCCGCGUGAGUGAUGAAGGUCUUCGGAUCGUAAAACUCUGUUAUUAGGGAAGAACAUAUGUGUAAGUAACUGUGCACAUCUUGACGGUACCUAAUCAGAAAGCCACGGCUAACUACGUGCCAGCAGCCGCGGUAAUACGUAGGUGGCAAGCGUUAUCCGGAAUUAUUGGGCGUAAAGCGCGCGUAGGCGGUUUUUUAAGUCUGAUGUGAAAGCCCACGGCUCAACCGUGGAGGGUCAUUGGAAACUGGAAAACUUGAGUGCAGAAGAGGAAAGUGGAAUUCCAUGUGUAGCGGUGAAAUGCGCAGAGAUAUGGAGGAACACCAGUGGCGAAGGCGACUUUCUGGUCUGUAACUGACGCUGAUGUGCGAAAGCGUGGGGAUCAAACAGGAUUAGAUACCCUGGUAGUCCACGCCGUAAACGAUGAGUGCUAAGUGUUAGGGGGUUUCCGCCCCUUAGUGCUGCAGCUAACGCAUUAAGCACUCCGCCUGGGGAGUACGACCGCAAGGUUGAAACUCAAAGGAAUUGACGGGGACCCGCACAAGCGGUGGAGCAUGUGGUUUAAUUCGAAGCAACGCGAAGAACCUUACCAAAUCUUGACAUCCUUUGACAACUCUAGAGAUAGAGCUUUCCCCUUCGGGGGACAAAGUGACAGGUGGUGCAUGGUUGUCGUCAGCUCGUGUCGUGAGAUGUUGGGUUAAGUCCCGCAACGAGCGCAACCCUUAAGC
rnacentral:rRNA from 1 species